AACCUUAUUUAUUUAUCAUUAAUAUCUGCAUAAAGAUUGCCUUUCUAUUAAGUAUUUCCAAUCUAAUGCAUAAUCUCAGAUGUGACAAUAUAAAAUAUUAUUGAUCAUUAAAAAGACUUUAUAUACAGUGCACUGAUACCUCCUUAGCUGUUCUAACAAGGCUGCUCUUUGUUAGUCUGUCAGUUUUAGGUAAUAUAUCACAUGGUCUUACCAAAUCUAUGUCCAUGUUUCUAACACUUGAUUAAUGCAAUUUGGAUAAUAUGGUUGACAAAGAUUCAGCUUCUGCCAUUCUCUUAAUUGUCUGACUGCUGAUUCUGUAUCUCCAAAGCUACAGUUUUAUUAUUGUUGUUUUGUUUUACUUUGCUUUUUUACCUAUUUACCUCUGAUAUGGUUUGCCUGUGUCCCUACCCAAAUCUCGUCUUGAAUUGUACCUCCAAUAAUUCCCACAUCUUGUGGGAGGGACCCAGUAGGAGACAAUUGAAUAAUGGAAGCGAUUUCCCCCCAUACUGUUCUCAUGGUCGUGAAUAAGUCUCAUGAGAUUUGAUGUUUUACAAGGGGUUUCCCCUUUUGCUAGGCUCUCUCUCUUGCCCACUACCAUGUAACAAGUCCCUUCGCUCUCUUUUCAUCUUCUGUCAUGAUUGUGAGGCUUCCCUCGCCAUAUGGAACUGAGUCAAUUAAACCUCUUUGCUUUAUAAAUUACCCGGUCUUGGGUAUGCCUUUAUUAGCAGCAUGAAAACAGACUAAUACCUCUUAAUGCAAGUAUUUUCUAGUUUGAUUACCUUAUCUUGAAUAUCUCCAUGUAAAAUAAUCUCAUGAUUUAAUUUUUAUCUUUUUUUUUUUUUUUUUUUUUGAGGUGGAAUCUCACUCUGUCACCUGGGCUGGAGUGCCGUGGCACAAUCUUGGCUCACUGCAACUUCUGCCUCUGCAGUUCAAGUGAUUCUCCUGCCUCAGCCACCUGAGUAACUGGGAUUGCAGGAAUGCACCACCAUACCCAACUAAAUUUUUUGUAUUUUUAGUGGAGAUGGGGUUUCACCAUGUUCACCAGGCUGGUCUCAAACUCCUGGCUUCAAGUGAUCUGCCCUCUUAAGCCCCUCAAAGUACUGGGGUUACAGGAGUGAGCCACCAUGUCUGACCCUAAUUAUUCUUUACAUGUGUCACCGCCACUCCUGAAAGUUUCUAGGGGCUGCAAGAUAAAGUGUCCUACGUGUUAUGGAAAACUCAUUCCUGCCCAUUCCUGCAUUGUAUAGGCUACUAAAUUUGAUCUUAUUUCUUUCUACUAGAACUUUACAAUUCUUUAUGUUUUUUAUUUUAUUUUGUACAUCAUCACAAAUACUUCACUGACACCUCAGUUUGUGUUUGCCUUCAGAUAAUUUCUAUAUAAAUGGAGCUUGUGCAAAUAUGUGUAUUUUACACUUUUCUAACUAUAAUUUACAUUUUAGGAUUCCAUAUGCCAUAUUUCAUUCACAUUUUUUUUAACUUUUAAGUUCAGGGGUAUAUGUGCAGGUUUGUUACAUAGGCAAACGUGUCAAAGGGGUUUGAUGUACAAAUUAUUUCAUCGCCCAGGUAUUAAGCCUAGUGUCCAUUAGUUAUUUUUCCCAAUUAUCUCCCUUCUGCCACCCUCUACCAUAUGAAAGUUCCCAGUGUCUGUUAUUACCCUCUAUGUGUCUAUGUUUUCUUAUCAUUUAGCUCCCAGGUAUAAGUAAGAACAUGUGGUAUUUGGUUUUCUGUUCCUGUGUUACUUUGCUAAGGAUUAUGCCUCCAGCUCCAUCCAUGUCCCUGAAAAGGACAUAUUCCCAUUCUUUUUUACGACGCAUAGUAUUCCGUGGUGUUUAUGUACCACAUUUUCUUUAUCCAGAGUAUCACUGAUGAGCAUUUGGGUUGAUUCCAUGUCUUUGCUGUUGUGAAUAGUGCUGCAAUGAACAUACACAUGCAUGUGUCUUUAUAACAGAACAAUUUACGUUUCUUUGGCUGUAUCCCUAGUAAUGGGACUUCUGGGUCAAAUGGUAUUUCUGCUUUUACAUCUUUGAGAAAUUGCCACAUUGUCUUCCAUAAUAGUUGAACUGAUUUACACUCCCACCAGCAGUGAAAAGUGUUCAUUUUUCUCCACAACCAUGACAGCAUCUGUAACUUUUUGGCUUUUUAAUACUAUUCAUCUGGCUGGUGUGGGAUGGUAUUUCAUUGUGGUUUUCAUUUGUCUUUCUCUAAUGAUCAGAUAUGUUUAGCUUUUUUUCAUGAUUGCUGGUUGUAUGUAUGUCUUCUUUUGAGAAGUGUCUGUUUAUGUCCUUUGCCCACUUUUUUAAUGCGGUUGAUUUUUUCUUGUAUAUUUGUUUAAAUUCCUUAGAGAUGCUAGAUAUUAGACCUUUGUCAGAUGCAUAGUUUGCAAAAAUUUUCUUCCAUUCUGUAGGUUGUCUGUUUACUCUGUUGAUAGUUUCUUUUGCUGUGCAGAAGUUCUUUAGUUUGAUUAAAUCCCAUUUGUCAAUUUUUGCUUUUGUUGCAAUUACUUUUGGUGUUUUCAUCAUGAAACCUUUGCUCAUGCCUAUGUCCUGAAUGGUAUUGCCUAGGUGGUCUUCCAGGGUUUUUAUAGCUUUUGGUUUUACAUUUAAGUUUUUAACCCACUUUGCGUUAAUUUUUGUAGAUGGUGUAAGGAAGAGGUCCAGUUUCAAUUUUUUGCAUAUGGCUAGCCAGUCAUCCCAGCACCAUUUAUUGAAUAGGGAACCAUUUAUUGAAUAGGAAAAACUUUUCCCACUCCUUGUUUUUGUCAGAUUUGUCGAAGAUCAGAUAGUUGUAUAUAUGCAGUCUUAUUUCUGAGUUCCCUAUUCUGUUCCAUUGGUUUAAUGUGUCUGUCCUUGUGCAAGUACCAUGGUGUUUUGGUUACUGUCAUAGCCCUGUAGCAUAGUUUGAAGUUGGGUAGCGUGAUGCCUCUAGCUUCGUUCUUUUGCUUAGGAUUGCCUUGGCUAUUUGGGCUUUUAUUGUUGCAUGUGAAUUUUAAAAUAGUUUUUUUCUAGUUCAGUCUCAUUCACAGAAGUUUUAUGGUACAACAAUUUUGUACAGUACUUCUUAAAAUCCCAUUUGUAGGAAGGCAUUGAUAUGUAAGACUUACAAAUACUUACUUGUUAUGUUGUUGAUAUAAUAGUUUUUAAAGGAUGACAUAUUGAGCUCAAUAAAACAGCAGCCUUAUUCUGAAUUUGAGGAAAAAUGGAAAUAAUUAGAAUUAUUAAGUUAUUGUGCAAAUGACUUUAUUGAGACGUGAUUGUUAUACAAAAUGCUGUACAUAUUUAAUGUAUACAACUUGAGUUUGGAGACAAGUCUAUACCUGAGAAGUUAUCACAAUCCAUGCUGUAAACGUCUCCUUCACUUCCAAAAGUUUUCUUUCUCUUUAUUCAUUAUUAUUAUGUUUUGUCAUGAGAAUACUACAUAAGAAGUAUUAUUUCAUUAAAAUGUUAAAUAUAUGUUAUAGUAUUCCUAACUAGAGGCACUAGGCUGUACAGCAGAUCUCUAAGACAUUCACCUCGAUAAAGUGUCCUUUUUAAGGAAAAAAUACUGUAUUAGUCUGUCCUCACACUGCUAAUAAAGAUAUACCUGAGACUGAGUAAUUUAUAAGAAAAAAGAAGUUUAAUGGGCUCACAGUUUCACAUCACUGGGGAUACCUCACAAUCAUGGUGGAAGGUGAAGGAGGAGCAAAAACAUGCCUUACAUGGCAGCAGGCAAGAGAGCAUUUGCAGGUAAACUGCCCUUUAUAAAACCAUCAGAUCUCAUAACACAUAUUCACUAUCAUAAGAACAGAAUAGUAAAAACCUGCCCCCAUGAUUCAAUUACUUCUCACUGAGUCACUCCCAUGAAACACGGGGAUUUUGGGAGCUACAAUUCAAGAUGAGAUUUGGGUGGCCAAUCCAUAGCAAGUACCAUAUGAACUUUCUAAAAUAUAAAUUAUUACUAAUUUCAUUGCAUUCUUUUUAAUAAGUAAGAUAGUUAUCCUAUAUUUAAAACAUAAGAAUCAUAAAAAGCAAGGAACAUAUUUACAUGAAAUCCAUAUUUCUUGCUCAGUUUGUACUGCAUAUUAAUAUAUAAUAUUAGAAAUCAUAGCUAUCAUUUUAUAAAGUAGAAAUUAAUGUAAUAAGAUCAUUUAAAUUUUACAUAAGUAGAGACAUGACUCUACGAAAUUCAGAAAAUUUCCAACUCUAUUAUAAUGUAUUUUUCUCAAUGAAACAAUUUGGUAAAUAUAGAAAUAUUGUAAUAUAACAUUGUAUAGAUUAGCAGAAAUUAAGAUUUCAAGUCAUAUAAGAAAAGUACUAAUGUUUGUGAUUUGGAAAAUAUAGCGUAAACUUAUAAACCAAAAUGAAUAUAUUCAGUGCUACCUUAAUUUUUUUGGUAUUUUAUGAAUGUCUUUUUUUUAAAGUUUUGCAAAAUUGUCAUUCCAUUCAUGGAAGUAAUUUUUUUCUUAAGUAGCACUCAAGUAGCAAAAUUUAAUAUUUAUGUAUGUUAAAAAUAAGAAUGUCAGAUGUCAACAGCUGUGAUACAAUUAGAGGUUUUCUUUUUGUAAGCAAUUAACAUAUGCACAUGCACACAAAGACAACUCCUUCUAUUAAAAGCAUGCUUUCUUACUAAUAGUUAAUGGCUUACAUAACUGAAAAAAAAUUCUAAAACUCUUCUCAUUUGAAUCCUUUCUGAAGGUUAAGUUUGUUUUAUUUUAUUCAUUGUAUUUUUUGUUAACUUUCUCUCUUCUAAGGAAUAAAGCACUUAAUAUUUUUUCAAUAGAGGUCAUCAUCACGGAGCACCUCAGGAGACUUCAUGAAUUGAAGGUUAUAAGAUUAUGUUACACUUUUCAGAAUUCUAGCAGUUGAGUCAGCAAAGAGGACUGAAAGAGUUCCACUUUCAAUCCCAGAAUUUCACUCAGUUCGCCUUGUCAGAAAAUAGCAAAGACUUGGAACCAACCCAAAUGUCCAAC
rnacentral:lncRNA from 1 species